rnacentral:rRNA from 1 species
CCUACGGGAGUCAGCAGUGAGGAAUAUUGGUCAAUGGACGCAAGUCUGAACCAGCCAUGCCGCGUGCAGGAUGACGGCUCUAUGAGUUGUAAACUGCUUUUGUACGAGGGUAAACCCCGAUACGUGUAUCGGGUUGAAAGUACCGUAUGAAUAAGGAUCGGCUAACUCCGUGCCAGCAGCCGCGGUAAUACGGAGGAUCCGAGCGUUAUCCGGAUUUAUUGGGUUUAAAGGGAGCGUCGGAGGUUUGAUAAGUUAGUGGUGAAAUGUUGGGGCUCAACCCCAAAAGUGCAAGUGAUACUGGUAGACUUGAGGAGAGUUGAGGUAGGCGGAAUUAGAGGGGUAGAGGUG